AGGGGUGUCAAAAUGAGCCAGCUC
rnacentral:siRNA from 1 species